GUGGGGAAUAUUGGACAAUGGGCGAAAGCCUGAUCCAGCCAUGCCGCGUGUGUGAAGAAGGUCUUCGGAUUCUAAAGCACUUUAAGUUGGGAGGAAGGGCAGUAAGUUAAUACCUUGCUGUUUUGACGUUACCGACAGAAUAAGCACCGGCUAACUUCGUGCCAGCAGCCGCGGUAAUACGAAGGGUGCAAGCGUUAAUCGGAAUUACUGGGCGUAAAGCGCGCGUAGGUGGUUCAGCAAGUUGGAGGUGAAAUCCCCGGGCUCAACCUGGGAACUGCCUCCAAAACUACUGGGCUAGAGUACGGUAGAGGGUAGUGGAAUUUCCUGUGUAGCGGUGAAAUGCGUAGAUAUAGGAAGGAACACCAGUGGCGAAGGCGACUACCUGGACUGAUACUGACACUGAGGUGCGAAAGCGUGGGGAGCAAACAGGAUUAGAUACCCCGGUAGUCC
rnacentral:rRNA from 1 species